rnacentral:lncRNA from 1 species
GAUUUGUUGAGGUAGUUGUUGUGGGUUCUGGCGUUGUUGUUGGUUCAGGUGUGGGUGUUGUUGUGGGUUCUAGUGUUGUUGUUGGUGCAGGUGUUGGAGGAUUUAUUGUGGUGGUUGUUGUGGGUUCUGGCGUUGUUGUUGGUGCAGGUGUUGGAGGAUUUGUUGUGGUAGUUGUUGUGGGUUCUGGUGUUGUUGUGGCUGCAGGUGUUGGAGGAUUUGUUGUGGUAGUUGUUGUGGGUUCUGGCGUUGUUGUUGGUGCAGUUGUGGGUGUUGUUGUUGGUGCAGUUGUGGGUGUUGUUGUGGGUUCUGGUGUUGUUGUGGCUGCAGGUGUUGGAGGAUUUGUUGUGGUAGUUGUUGUGGGUUCUGGUGUUGUUGUUGAUGCAGGUGUGGUAGUUGUUGUGGGUUCUGGCGUUGUUGUUGUUGGUGCAGGUGUUGGAGGAUUUGUUGUGGUAGUUGUUGUGGGUUCUGGCGUUGUUGUGGCUGCAGGUGUUGGAGGAUUUGUUGUGGUAGUUGUUGUGGGUUCUGGCGUUGUUGUUGGUUCAGGUGUGGGUGUUGUUGUUGGUUCUUGCGUUGUUGUUGGUGCAGGUGUGGGUGCUGUUGUAGGAACUAUUGUGGUUGUUGUUGUGGGUUCUGGUGUUGUUGUUGGUGCAGGUGUGGGUGUUGUUGUAGGAACUAUUGUGGUGGUUGUUGUGGGUUCUGGCGUUGUUGUUGGUUCAGGUGUGGGUGUUGUUGUAGGAACUAUUGUGGUUGUUGUUGUGGGUUCUGGCGUUGUUGUUGGUGCAGGUGUGGGUGUUGUUGUGGGUUCUGGCGUUGUUGUUGGUGCAGGUGUUGGGGGAUUUGUUGUGGUGGUUGUUGUGGGUUCUGGUGUUGUUGUGGCUGCAGGUGUUGUUAUAGGAUUUAUUGUGGUGGUUGUUGUGGGUUCUGGCAUUGUUGUUGGUGCAGGUGUGGGUGCUGUUGUGGUUUCUGGUGUUGUUGUGGCUGCAGGUGUUGUAGGAAUUAUUGUGGUGGUUGUUGUGGGUUCUGGUAUUGUUGGUGCAGGUGUGGUUUCUGGUGUUGUUGUGGGUUCUGGUAUUGUUGUUGGUUCAGGUGUGGUUUCUGUUGUUGUUGUUGUGGGUUCUGGUAUUGUUGUUGGUGCAGGUGUGAUUUCUGGUGUUGUUGUGGGUUCUGGUGUUGUUGUUGGUGCAGGUGUGGUUUCUGGUGUUGUUGUGGGUUCUGGUAUUGUUGUUGGUGCAGGUGUGGUUUCUGGUGUUGUUGUGGGUUCUGGUAUUGUUGUUGGUGCAGGUGUGGUUUCUGGUGUUGUUGUGGGUUCUGGUAUUGUUGUUGGUGCAGGUGUGGUUUCUGGUGUUGUUGUGGGUUCUGGUGUUGUUGUUGGUGCAGGUGUGGUUUCUGGUGUUGUUGUGGGUUCUGGUAUUGUUGUUGGUGCAGGUGUGGUUUCUGGUGUUGUUGUGGGUUCUGGUGUUGUUGUUGAUGCAGGUGUGGUUGUUGUGGUUACUGUUGUAGGUUUUGUUGUUGAAGUUGUUGAAGGUAUUGUUGUAGGUGUUGUUGGAGAUUUUGUGGUUGUGCGUGUUGUUGUAGGUGUUGUUGGAGAUUUUGUGGUUGUGCGUGUUGUUGUAGGUGUUGUUAGAGAUUUUGUGGUUGUGCGUGUUGUAGGUGUUGUUAGAGAUUUUGUGGUUGUGCGUGUUGUUGUAGGUGUUGUUGGAGAUUUAGUUGUUGUGAGUGUUGUUGUAGGUGUUGUUGGAGAUUUCGUGGUUGUGCGUGUUGUUGUAGGUGUUGUCGGAGAUUUUGUGGUUGUGCGUGUUGUUGUAGGUGUUGUUGGAGAUUUUGUGGUUGUGCGUGUUGUUGUAGGUGUUGUUAGAGAUUUCGUGGUUGUGCGUGUUGUUGUAGGUGUUGUUAGAGAUUUUGUGGUUGUGCGUGUUGUAGGUGUUGUUGGAGAUUUUGUGGUUGUGCGUGUUGUAGGUGUUGUUGGAGAUUUAGUGGUUGUGCGUGUUGUAGGUGUUGUUAGAGAUUUUGUGGUUGUGCGUGUUGUAGGUGUUGUUAGAGAUUUUGUGGUUGUGCGUGUUGUGGUAAGUGUUGUUGGAGAUUUUGUGGUUGUACGUGUUGUUGUAGGUGUUGUUAGAGAUUUUGUGGUUGUACGUGUUGUUGUAGGUGUUGUUGGAGAUUUUGUUGUUGUAGGUGUUGUUGGAGAUUUUGUUGUUGUGCGUGUUGUUGUAGGUGUUGUUGUCUGCUUUGUUGUGGAUGUUGUUGUAGAUGUUGCUGCAGCAAUAACACUGCGUCUGUUUCUGAUGAAACUGAUUGGAAAUCUUUCCACUGAAGGUUGAUCGGUGUAGGACAGAGUUAUCUUGCGAAUGGGGAAAUCCUCCAGUACCAGCUCAAAUGAAUAAACUCCAGGGACCAGGGUUUGUUCAUAGGACAGAGAGCAGUUAUUCUACAUUUUAAAGAAAAUAAAAACUUUUAUGAAAUAACUAAUAUACAUAUAUGUUGUAAAUGCUGUGUAGAAAUCAGACUUUAAAACGAAGCUUUUGUAUUAAGCAUAUAUAACACUUGAUUUCAGUUUAUUUUGCAAUGAUAACAUCAAUUUACAACAUCAUAACAAUCAAUUGUAAAACUACAUCCUUAUGGGAAUGGAUUUUCUCAAGCUUUCUGUUUCUCACUGUACUAUUUCCGACAUUAAUCCCAUAAUGGAAAUUUAUUUCCUCCUUGAAUUUAGUGGUAAAUAGUUGCUUGUCAUCCAAUUUCAAUAUCAACUAUGCAGGUUUUAAGAAAUGGUAUGUUAAGUUAGGCCCAAAAGAAAUAUAGAUCGUAUUGUCACCAUAACAAUGAAAACUAACUUUAUGUUAAGUGUAGCAUAAAGAAUGGAAAUUUAUGGACCAUGUAUGGCACCUUGUGGCACUGUAUAUUGAAUUUGUGACCAAAAUUAUACCUCUUAACUUGAUCUAAUGUAAUACCUAAAAUACCAAUAUCAUUAUGAGAUUAUCCAAGAGACUUUUGUAGUUAAUUGUAUCAAAUGCAGCAUUGGGGUUUAUUAACAAUAUUACAGAAAUGCCACCACAAUAAGAUAGAACAAGACGUUAGUAACUCUAAUGCUAUAAAAUGGCUGAAAUCCUGACUAGAAUUCCAUAUACAUUUGUACACUUUCAUAUACAUAUGUCUAUUUUUCCUCACCUGAUUUAAAGUGAAACCAUCAGUUUGGUUGCAGAUUCCACAUUCAGUGUUUUGUGCAAAUCUGCAUCUGACCUGGUCAUCAUCUGGAUCAAAGGCUAAAAGGUUGUACCUCCUGGCACAGUUUUGAGGAACUCUGCAACACAAACAAAGUGCCAAUGUCAUGUACAUUUAUAUUCCUACAUCAUGUUGAAUGCACAUCUAGAAUGCAGUUUUUACCUAAGAAGUGGUAGAGUGGUAGAGAUUGGGGAUCUGUUAGGCACUAAAGUGUCUGAUCUCACUCCCAGAUCAAUGAAAGAAAAAAGAUUCCAGAAUCCGGAGUAUGCGACUAUGUUGUUGAUCCAACAGCAACCCAUUGACCUGUUGAAAUAAAUUGGCAUUUCAUAUUUACAUUGUUUGGUUGGGAUCUAUAUUGUAAGUGUGUGAUUCUGUUAUUCCACUUACACUAACUCAAAUGGUCUGUUGGUGGAUAAAUCCUUUGUUAUGACUCCCUCAGACUGACACCAGUUGUUUCCAUUGGAACUCGAAUCUAUUGUUCCAAUCACGUUACUGACCUCAUUUCCACAGUCUCCAGACAUGCAGGACCAGUGGUUAUACUGGGAACAGUCAUUGUAGGCCAUCUUGUAGCGAAGUUCCACCUGAAAUAAUCAAUAGUUUAAUAAAUGACUGAAGUGAGGUCUUAAAUGUAUGUGAUUGAUGUUGAAAUCUGCUGGUAAGAUGUGCAAACAUCUUUAUUUAAAAAAUACAGCACUGCAGAAAAUCAAAUUUUAAUAGCUGUUGUUUUCACAUUUCAUGAUUAUCUAGGGUAACAUUCAGUUGCCGUCAUGUUCAUACUACAUAACCAUAGAUAUGUACUCUAGAUAUCGCAUACGGACCUUGAGCAUGCGCCGCCACAUUUGUAUAGUGCUCCCAGGACAAACGUCAUUCAACCGCACUAGUCAAGACUAAAGCCAAUGUGAGAUGCUGAACUUUAGCGCUGUGUAUGGGUGUAGUAUUGAACAAACAAAGAAAACAAAGCACGAAGGCAGAACAUUUCAGAGGUAAAAUUGAGUUUUUUACGUUCUUGGAUGUUACAAACG